CCUACGGGAGGCAGCAGUGGGGGAUAUUGCACAAUGGGGGAAACCCUGAUGCAGCGACGCCGCGUGGGUGAAGAAGCGCCUCGGCGCGUAAAGCCCUGUCAGCAGGGAAGAAAAUGACGGUACCUGAAGAAGAAGCCCCGGCUAACUACGUGCCAGCAGCCGCGGUAAUACGUAGGGGGCAAGCGUUAUCCGGAUUUACUGGGUGUAAAGGGGGCGCAGACGGCGAUGCAAGCCAGGGGUGAAAGCCCGGGGCCCAACCCCGGGACUGCUCUUGGAACUGCGUGGCGAGAGUGCACGAGGGGCAGGCGGAAUUCCUGGUGUAGCGGUGAAAUGCGUAGAUAUCAGGAGGAACACCGGUGGCGAAGGCGGCCUGCUGGACUGCAACUGACGUUGAGGCCCGAAAGCGUGGGGAGCAAACAGGAUUAGAUACCCCUGUAGUC
rnacentral:rRNA from 1 species